rnacentral:tRNA from 1 species
AGGAACUUAGGAUUAUUUAAACCAAUAACCUUCAAAGUCAUUAAAAAGAGCACGACCUCUUAGUUCCUG